CCCGAGAAUCCGAAAGUAUGUGUGCGCGGUUACUCCUGUCAACACGCCCAGGGUGCUUGCGCAUUACACACGGUUUUAGGAAUAUACUGUCGCUCCCUUGCGGGCCGUACUCCAGCCGUUUGGGUGCUCAGGUGUAUAUUCGUGUCAACACGAGUGAGCUCCCUCAGAGCCAGGUGUGAAGGGGUCCCCGAAAUCACUACCGGUACUGAAGUGCAAGGUUCCGAAACUUCACGUUUGUCCGACGAAAAUGGAUGGAGCUCCGCAGGGGUCUAAAUUCUCCAAUAUGAUGGCUGAGUUUGCGGGAAUGUUGCCACUCAAAGGGGAAAUCAGUUACAAAGAUCCGGGAACCGGUACUGUUUACAAAGUAAAGAUAAAAAAAUCCAAACCACCGAGAUUUUGUAGGAAGAAAAGAGAGAAAUAUCCAACUGAUGAGGGUUACGAACUGCCCGGAUGCCCGAAUAGGCCUCUCCCUCCAGCACCGAAUGGGCGAAGGCUGUCAGAACCUCUGGAGCCUGACUCGAAUAGCGACUUUGAAGAUCCUGUGUAUGACCCAAUCCCUGAUGGUGACAUGGAUUGGUUUCCCAAGUCGGGAAAGCAUGGCACCAGCCACGGUUCAGAUGACGGUGUCCCAGGUUUUAUGAAUACAGUCGGCGUUGAUUCUUGCAGUGGGCAGCAACAAGAGCUGCAAUACGAAAUUCUCGAACUUGACAGCAGCCACAAUCAGAAUAGCGGUGAUUGUGGAAAAGAAUCUGAUGAAUUGUACACUCGACUUAAGCGCCGCGCAAAUAGAUCUGAUGUGUAAAUCAAAAGUUGUUUUGUGCGUUGAUUUUACAUGCUAUGAUGUGAUCAGUUCUGAUUUUCAAAUGAGAACUUCUUUCAGCGUGAUUCGUUUGUCUGCAGAAAACAGAAACAUUUCCUUGAAUUCCUUGCUAUGACUAGCAAGAGUGGACCACUGGAGAGGUUAAUAAUGACGGGAAAAAUACCCAGCACAUAGUGCCGAGCCCCAGAAAGGCCUUUAAAAGGUCCUAUAUCAAACAUAUUCCACAUUUUUGGCGCCACCCAAAGCCAAUCCACCUCUCUCGAAAAAGCUUGGUUUGAGAUCCAUUUGAUGUUCAGAAAUGAAACCGACCAACGUAAGAAAAUGAUGAGGUAUGAAUGUAACUAAAUCUUUCUUCCAACAUUAGAGUAUAAAAAGUGACAUCUUUGGGAAAUGAAUUUAAUUUGGACAAAUGUAUAUUCAGCGUAACUGUACAGACUAUGUAGAGAUGAUGUAUAAAAUAAUAAUUUGUUCUCAAUGUUGAAAAUGUGUAAAGCAUCAAUAAUUAUUGAACAUGUAUUAUGUCUUUCAUUAUGUAUUCUGUAAAACAACAUUAUGUAUGUGAUUAGUGAUCCCGGGAAGUAGAUUCCACGCGGGAUAGGUCAGGCUUAUACCUCAAAAUGUUAUUCAUAUCGACAACAAAUAAGCGUAUAUGAUAUUUUGCUUUAAAUUUUGAAAAAUCGUAUGUAGUGCUAGAACUGAUAAGAUCGUUUCAGUUUCAAACAGCGACAGCCCAACUGAAGUAGAAGCAUUCAGAAUGAUGUAUAAAAUUGUUGGUAAAAUGGGAAAAUGUGUCUCGAGGGCUGAAAAUCCUGGAAUUAGACCUACCUCAAAGUAGCUGACAUCUUCAGGCCGGGGACUGGAGGCACAGCUUUAGCAAGUGAGUGGUGUAUGUUGCAAUAAUGGUGGGAAAUUCCCCACUCAUACUUCAGUGAAAGAAAUGACCUUUUGUAUUGACCCCCGCCGCUGUUAUUCAUUCUGUGUUCUCAGCCAUGGUCACAAAGGCAAUAAAAUGACAAAGCCGAGGAAUGGUCGAAAUUCCAAAAGUCGUGAGCAUUUCUUAAUCUUGCACUCUAAUGUGAUGUGUGGAUUGUCCUCAUAUUAGGUUCUUGUAUUUGUCUAAUGCUUGUAUGAUCUUUUUAAUGCCUAUUUUUCCUUGCAAAUUGCUUUAGAGCGUUGGCUCCGUCAUUACACGAUUUUGUUUUCUUUUACGUGUCUUUUUAUCCUUUUGUUUUCAUGAGCCAAAUUAAUUAAAGCAACACCGGAAAAGAUGUUGCUCAAUGUGCUCAAACUUUGAAAUUAGCUUUUCAGUAUCAUAAUGCAUUCAGGGAAUUAAGCAAAGGCGAUAACAGUAUUUUUGAAGAAAGGGCAGUUAAUCGAUUAAAACUGGAACUCUUGAUGGUGGUUUAUUAGUCUUGCAACUGGUAACAACGUUGUUUAGGUUGAGGGAGAAGUACUGCUUGCAGGUGCAGAAAGGGAGCAAUCCCUAUUGGAAGAAGAUUCUGCUCUGAGAAAAGAGCCGGUGGUCAGAAAAGAUCCCGAUGUUUCGACCAGCGUGCUCAAUAUUUACCAUGUGUACACUAUUCAGCUUUCAGGGCCAGACACUUCAAACAACACGUCGCUGUCACUCAAAAUGCUUUCCGCAUUGUGCCCGCAUAAAAGACAAUGAAUUGGUACUAACCACUAACCAAUGUGUCAAUGUACAGUCUAGUUUCCAUUGUUAAUAAUCAAGAUAUCCCUUAAAUGAGGUAUCUUAAGGCUCAUUAAGGGGGUAUUGGAGUACUUUUAAGAUUGUAAGGAGUACAAUUAAGAUUUUUAAUAGUCUACGAAUAGUGACUUUGUGAUGCAUUAUUUUUAAUGGUUUAUAUUUUGUUAUCGUUUAGAAAUGCCUGUGUAAGCUGCAUGUUUGUGCCUUUUACAAUGGCUAAUUAAAACAGAUGAAUUUAAAUGUUGACCU